UCUGUCAUAUUGAUGGAAUCAUCUCUCAUGCAUUUUAGGUGUCUCUUGUUCCAAUGUGGAUUGUGUAUUACAGAGGAAGAGGCCGGAGGAAAGGAGGCUGAACAAGAAUGAUGCAAGAAUCUAGACGUCAUUUUAAAAAGGUUUUCCAGAUGUGUAAAAAACAGAAGAAAAACUGAGGUGAAGAAAAUAUAUGAACUUUUGACAUUAUAAAGGUCGACGACAGUACUGAAGCCAUAACUGCAAGUCAGAUCUAUGAAUCCUGGUUCAACAAUCUCUCUCGACAACACAGUAAAGAAGAGCUCCACAAGCCCCCCAGUACAUCUGGCAACAAGAGUGCAAAUAAUCCAAUAAAAGUCUUAAGACUUUCAGUUGCCCUCUCAAAUUCCUCUGAGGCCACCAUAAUUCUCAAGUCACUUUAAUUUUUUUCUCUCAUCUCCCUUGUACACCCUUAAAAUGUACAGCUGCAUUUUUCUCUGCCAGGAUAGAACUUAGAAAUUCCCAAGAUUUAACGGUGAUGUAUUCAACCCAGGACUUGCACCUGAGCACCAGGAACCAUGGCUUCGUCUUUCAGUGAGACAGCAGGGACUUCCUUUCAUCUCACUCUCCUUGUCCAAAAGCCUUGAAACUGGAGAUAAGAAUAAAAGGACUGACG
rnacentral:lncRNA from 1 species